rnacentral:rRNA from 1 species
AUUGAACGCUGGCGGCAGGCCUAACACAUGCAAGUCGAGCGAGAGGCGGACGGGUGAGUAAUGUCUGGGAAACUGCCUGAUGGAGGGGGGUAACUACUGGAAACGGUAGCUAAUACCGCAUACGAUCAGAUGUGCCCAGAUGGGAUUAGCGGGUGGGUGGGGUAACGGCUCACCUAGGCGACGAUCCCUCUCUGGGGUGAGAGGAUGACCAGCCACACUGGAACUGAGACACGGUCCAGACUCCUACGGGAGGCAGCAGUGGGGAAUAUUGCACAAUGGGCGCAAGCCUGAUGCAGCCAUGCCGCGUGUGUGAAGAAGGCCUUCGGGUUGUAAAGCACUUUCAGCGGGGAGGCGUUACCCGCAGAAGAAGCACCGGCUAACUCCGUGCCAGCAGCCGCGGUAAUUC